AUUGAACGCUGGCGGCAGGCCUAACACAUGCAAGUCGAACGAGUGGCGGACGGGUGAGUAAUGCUUGGGAAUCUGGCUGAUGGAGGGGGAUAACUACGGGAAACUGUAGCUAAUACCGCAUACCAUCGGAUGUGCCCAAGUGGGAUUAGGUAGUUGGUGGGGUAAAGGCUCACCAAGCCGACGAUCGCUAGCUGGUCUGAGAGGAUGACCAGCCACACUGGGACUGAGACACGGCCCAGACUCCUACGGGAGGCAGCAGUGGGGAAUAUUGCGCAAUGGGUGCAAGCCUGACGCAGCCAUGCCGCGUGAAUGAAGAAGGCCUUCGGGUUGUAAAGUUCUUUCGGUAGCGAGGCGUUACCUGCAGAAGAAGCACCGGCUAACUCCGUGCCAGCAGCCGCGGUAAUAC
rnacentral:rRNA from 1 species